rnacentral:rRNA from 1 species
AUUGAACGCUGGCGGCAGGCCUAACACAUGCAAGUCGAACGAGUUGCGGCCGGGUGAGUAAUGUCUGGGAAACUGCCUGCUGGAGGGGUAUCACUACUGGAAACGGUAGCUAAUACCGCAUACCAUCUGAUGUGCCCCGCUGGGAUUAGCUAGUUGGUGGGGUAACGGCUCACCAAGGCGACGAUCCCUAGCUGGUCUGACAGGAUGACCAGCCACACUGGAAAGGAGACACGGUCCAGGCUCAUACGGGAGGCAGCAGUGGGGAAUAUUGGACAAUGGGAGCAAGCCUGAGGCAGCCAUGCCGCAUGUAGGAAGAAGGCCUUCGGGUUGUAAAGUACUUUCAGCGGGGAGGCGUUACCCGCAGAAGAAGCACCGGCUAACUCCGUGCCAGCGGCCGCGGUAAUUC